rnacentral:rRNA from 1 species
AUGCAGAAUGAGCAAGCAUGCACCAUCUGUGGACAUGUUACAGAGGACGCCCAUCACGCCCUUGUCCGCUGCCCCCAUGCUGCUGGACUAUGGAACUCCAUGAGAGAAAUCUGGGACAUUCCAGGCGAGGAAGAAAUGCAUGAUACGGAGUCGGAGUGGAUCUUUCGUCUCCUUGAGAAACUGAACGAGACACAGCGAAUGAUGGUUUUGAUGAUUCUCUGGCGAGCGUGGCAUGUGAGAAAUGAAGUUACACACGAGAAACCGGCGGUUCCAAUCGAGGUCUCUCGACGGUUCCUCGCUAGCUAUGCCAUGUCCCUGUUGUCGCUACAACAACACCCAGACGCAGACCCCAUCAAAGGUAAACAGGUGGUCGACUACUUCGGCGAGCCUGUGCGGAAGCAGAACCCCAUAUGUCAUGUGGAACAUUGGACACCUCCGGUGGCUGGCUGUGUGAAACUCAAUGUCGACGGUUCCUUCCAGCCAACUGACGGCACGGCUGGAGCGGGGAUGAUCCUACGUGACCACCUGGGGGCUGUAAUGCUGGCAGCGAUAAGAGGGCUUGGGAAUUGUGCGGACGCCCUGGAAGCCGAGUUGGCAGCAAUCCAUGAAGGAAUUACUCUGUCUCUUAAUUGGACUGAACUAGAUAUCCUUGUGGAGACUGACAGCGCUGAUGCGGUGCAACUAAUUUCGGCAGCCGAAAAAGACCGUUCAGCACACACUCACAAAGUAAUGGAGAUCAGAUCAAUACUGUCUCAAGAAAGAAGGAUUCAAAUUAUGAAGAUCAAGCGGAAUGUUAAUGUAGCUAGUCACACUCUCGCUCAUAUGGGACGUACACAAUAG